rnacentral:rRNA from 1 species
UACGGAGGGUGCAAGCGUUAAUCGGAAUUACUGGGCGUAAAGCGUGCGCAGGCGGUUUGUUAAGUCUGUUGUGAAAUCCCCGAGCUCAACUUGGGGAUUGCAAUGGAUACUGGCAGGCUGGAGUAUGGUAGAGGAAGGUGGAAUUCCCGGUGUAGCAGUGAAAUGCGUAGAGAUCGGGAGGAACACCAGUGGCGAAGGCGGCCUUCUGGACCAAUACUGACGCUCAUGCACGAAAGCGUGGGGAGCAAACAGG